ACACACACACACACACUUUCAUUGUAAUGCGAUCUGAAAUGAAAACUGAACACCCUUCUAGAGUAUGCGUUCCAGCUUUCAUACGGACUUGGCAUAUCAGACCUGACAACUACUAUUAGUCAGUCUUAGAAAGCAUUUUGUGUUAUUCACACCAUAUGUUCUCCCAUAGUAGUUCCCUUAUACAUACUGUAUAACACGCAACAGGGUUUCUUUGGCUGAUAGACUGAUUGCCUGUUUUUGUGGUAUUUCUGAACAUUCAGCUUAGCCAGAUCAAGACAUUUUGAGAAUUCAGAGUUGACAGAAAAUGGAAUGGCUAUACAUGUAUGGGAUGAAAGGAGAAUAUACCAUGUUCAUACCAACCAAACCAGACAGAUCUAGAGAAUCGCUAAAUGAAAGUGCCUUGGACAACAGCGAACACCAGUGAAACCCAAAGCCACAUUCCAGCAGAUGACCUCGCAGGGCAUCCAAAAGCACAGCUCGGAUAGAUGGACGGACCCCAAAACAAGACCAGCAGCUCGGGAGACGGAACAGGAGUUCCUGGGUAUGGCUCUCCCCCUCUGCUUGUGGUCACCGGGGCUUCCUACUAUGGCGAAUUGACCAAAGGGCCCAACUCUGGGAUUCAGCACACCCGCUAAACAAGACCAACUUUUUCUCAGCUUUCAAAACUCCACGAUGAAAAGGUUUUUUUUUUUUUGUUUGUUUGCAGUAGUAUGUGUGUGUGUGUGUGUGUGUGUGUAUGCUGAGUGCCACCACAAUGCAGAAUGUGCUUGAGUCACUGGGCUGCGGCUGCCAGGCCUCUUUAAACAUUACACUUUGUGAGAGUGUGCUGAAUGGCUUCGCUUCAGAUAUGCUACGGAACGUGAUGGAGAUUCUGGAUCUCUGGUACCCUCACCUAAGUGGACUGGCCACGAGUAGCCGAGCGCGACGGUGUGACAGAGAUUGAGGAACACUGACCACUUUGGUCCAAGGAUGUGAAAUAAUGCUGCUAAACUUAUUGUCCAAAACAGCAGGAUCCACAAAUCAGUGGGGGUUGUGGCUCUCCUUCUCUACAUGAGCACAUCUUUUUGUGCCUCUUCUAUAAAAAAAAAGAAAACCGCAUCCUGUAUGAAGUUGUUUCCCUUUCAGUCAACAUCUCUCUGGUGGGGGGAGGAGGCGGGACUGGUUACCCCCGAUUAAGAUAUUUCUUUUUUCUGUUAGUGUCUAUGGCAAUCAUAGGAAACUCCACUGCACCUGUAGCCUCGCUCCUCUGCUUCAUGUACCGGUGAUCGCUUUGUUCUGAAGCAGGAUUGGACAGCUGAGGAGAUGUCUGACUGCCAGUCACCCCUAUGAAACGUUUCCAUUGGAGCCCUGAGUCAGAGUAUAUUUAUGUAUUCAAGAGUUUUAUGGCUGUAUAUUACAUAAUCAUGCCAACUUUCCAACUUGUAAAUAUCGAAAGACUAAAGCCAAAAAAGAGAUCAAGUGUAAUGCACAUAAAUGAAUGUGACUUAUCAACUGGGAGUUGAGUUGACAUACUAAUUUUUAAAAAAUGAAAUGUAUUUAAAUAAAUUAUAAGAUUGGUAUAUAAAAUC